UCACGCGCCCUGCGAUUGGCUCGCAGGGACCCUCUGUUUCUCACGCCGCCCAAUCAGCGGUAGGUGAGGCGACCGCUCCAUUUCUCAGCCAAUGAGGAGGAUCGAACGAUGGACUGCCGACUCUGGGCCCGCCCCCAGUGGCGGGCGACCGCGCGCCGGCUCUGCGCAAGCGCAGGGAUUUGCCGGGAUUCGAGUCCCCGCAGGCGCCGGGUCUGCGUAGGAGCUGGGACUGCGCAGGCGCGUGGCGUCGGACUUCCCUGGAGAGAGCCUGGACUGCCCCUGAGUGGAAGGUUCCCGCGGGCGGACUCGGUAGGGGACCACACCCCGAAGAGCUGUUCCACCGGGCUGGACUCAGGGGUGCGGGAGCCCAGAGGGCCUCAGCCGCUCCGGACGACAGACGGGGUGACCGCGUCAGGGGUGCCGCCGAGCUGAAGGGCAAGCUCCGGGGUCUCGGGCCCCGCGGGGCGCGUAGGUCCUCCUCGCCCCUGACCGUCGGGGUCUCUCCGUCCCCGUGGGGAGCAUAGGUCCUCCUCGCGCCUCGACACUUGAGGUCCCCCGUGCUACAGUGGUCUGGCAUUCCAAUGGGGUCUGCACCCCUGCCCCGACCUGUGCUGGGUUGGGGGGCGCUAAGGGAUGAAUGGUGUCAGAGAUAGGCUCUUUCAAACCUCAAUCCUCCCCUUUUUUAAGAUUUAUUUACGUAUUUGGGGGAGGAGGAAGAGGCAGAAAGAGAAUCUCCAGCAGACCCCCGCAGAGUGUGGAGGCCGACUGGGAGAUUGAUUCCACCACGCUGAGAUCAUCCCCUGAGCAGAAAUCAAGAGUUGGACCCUUAACCCACUAAGCCACCCAGGCGCCUCACUCACUCCCUUUUUUUUUUAAGCUGCAGAAAAGCAGGGAUCUUUUUUUACAUUCUUAACUUGGAUUGCCAUAUCUAUAUGCACAUUGAGUUUUUUAUUGUAAAAUAUUCGUAGUGUAAAACUGACCAUUUUAAACAUUUUCAAGUGUAUGGUUCUGUGACAUUAAGCCCAUUCCCCUUUGACAGCCACAGAACAUUUUCUUUAUCGUAAACUGAAACUCGUAGCCUUUAAAUACUGAUUUCCAAUUUCCCCUUCCCUUUGUAAACAUUGAUUUUUACUUUUAAAAUGUCCGAGAAUCAGUCAAGUUGUGAGUAUGCAGAAUGAAUCCUCCCACCCCAGCCUCCACCCAGUUCUCUUCCCAGAAGUGUGUUAGUUCUUCGUGCAUGUUUCCAUCACCAGCUCGUGCGUGAUAACAUUCAAAGACCUUUUUCCCCACCCUGCUUUUCCAACUUAGGUGCUCCUUGGAGAUCAUCCCAAUUCAGUACAGACGUGCCCCCGGGUCUGUUGUCUAGAUGUGCUUUAAUCUUCCCAACUCACCUCCUGUUGGGGCACAGUUAGGUGGUUGCCAGUUUUGUUUUGUUUUUAUAGUAUAAGCUGCUUUUUAUGUAUCACAUCUUGUGUAAUUGUUAGUAUUCCUUAGGAGAAAUUUCAGGAAUUGGAAUCACCGGGCCAAGUAGAACGUGUCAGGUAAUUCUGAUAGCUGUUGGCAAGUCCCUGGAAGGAAGUUGAAUUAGUUGUUGAAGCCUGGCCACCGGAAUGUGGAGGUAUGCGCGCCGUCUCCAGGCUCCUCAGUCUGAUGGUGUUUCAAAGCCAUCCUAACGGGUGUGAAGUUGCUUCUCGUAGUGGUUUUGGUCUGCAUUCCCAGACUUCCCUUUAUUUCGGGUAAUCUCCCAGUGUUGAUGAAAGGAGGUCUCGGGUGGUGUCUCUCCGGUGUUAACGUGCACCCAAGUCAUCUAGGGAGUUUGUGGAAAUCCUGAUUCAGGAGAUCUGGAGUGUGGCCUCUGCAUUUCCAGCAGGCACCAGGGGAUGCCAGUAACAACCUGCUGGUCUGAGGGCCACGCCUUGAGUAGCAAAGACAGACGACAAGACGUUCAUCGGCUCCAGAGUUAGGCACACCUAACUCAGGGACGAUUCAGUGUUGUGGAUCCAGGGCCACCUUGGCUACAGCCAAGCAUUUUCAGACGCUAGGCACCUGCUGACAUCAAGGGAAGGAGCCAGCUGUGUGACUGUCUCAUCAUCACAAAACGAAGGCUCCAAAGCCUGUGAUUCUCUUCUAAGCUCUGCUGAAGUCAUGUACGCUCCUCUCUGUUCAUUCGUGAAGUCUUACCGGGGCCUUUCCAGCAGGGCACGGUGCCAGGUGAGGCCGGAGGGAGCCCUGUCCUCAGGAGGUUCACAGCCUACCUGUGGAGAUGAGACAACCCCUAGAGUGAACAACACAGUGGAGACAGUGGCGCGUUGCUGGAGCUGCUGUGACUGCUCAGGCCCCACAGACAAGGAAGAAGGUCUGGCUUUCAGUCUGGGGGAUGACAUGAUUGUAACUGUAUCUUGAACAAAGAUCACUCACUGGUCACAUGGAUGAGUUGGAGCAGGGAGACCCCUAAAAGGUUGUCAUGGUCGUCUGUAAGCUCCAUUGUCUGCUGCAGCCUAGAUGGUGACGUCUGUCAUCUAUAACUAUGGAGGUCUGUGACGUCUGUCAUCUGUAGACUGGAUGGUUUGUCGUCGGUAGACCUUGACGGCCCAUGUCGACUGUUGUCUCCAGGCCGUGAUGGCCUAUGUCGUCUGUUGUGUCUAGACCAAGGCAGUCUGUGUCUCCUGUCUGUAGACGUGGUCUGUGAUGUCUGUCAUCCCUUGUAACGCAGACUAUGGUGGUCUAUAAUGGAAGUUCUGACCAGCAUUGGAGGGCCAGCAAAGGGAGUCUGAGACCUUGAGAAGUCUGUGGGAAGAAAACAUGACAUGUGUUGAGAUCUCGGGGUCGGGACUGAGGAGAUGAGAUGCAUAAACGAUCACGGCAGAUCCCACUCCUAAGAAUUCUAGAAAGUGGGGGGCGCCUGGGUGGCACAGCGGUUGAGCGUCUGCCUUCGGCUCAGGGCGUGAUCCCAGAGUUGUGGGAUCGAGCCCCACGUCGGGCUCCUCUGCUGUGAGCCUGCUUCUUCCUCUCCCACUCCCCCUGCUUGUGUUCCCUCUCUCGCUGGCUGUCUCUAUCUCUGUCGAAUAAAUAAAAUCUUUAAAAAAAAAAAAAAAAAGAAUUCUAGAAAGUGCCAGCAACCAACCUGUGUGAUUGAAGGCAGCUGCGUGGUUGAU